rnacentral:rRNA from 3 species
AUAUCAAUAAGCGGAGGAAAAGAAACCAACAGGGAUUGCCCUAGUAACGGCGAGUGAAGCGGCAACAGCUCAAAUUUGAAAUCUGGCUCUUUCAGAGUCCGAGUUGUAAUUUGCAGAGGGCGCUUUGGCUUUGGCAGCGGUCCAAGUUCCUUGGAACAGGACGUCACAGAGGGUGAGAAUCCCGUACGUGGUCGCUAGCUAUUGCCGUGUAAAGCCCCUUCGACGAGUCGAGUUGUUUGGGAAUGCAGCUCUAAAUGGGAGGUAAAUUUCUUCUAAAGCUAAAUAUUGGCCAGAGACCGAUAGCGCACAAGUAGAGUGAUCGAAAGAUGAAAAGCACUUUGGAAAGAGAGUCAAACAGCACGUGAAAUUGUUGAAAGGGAAGCGCUUGCAGCCAGACUUGCUUGCAGUUGCUCAUCCGGGCUUUUGCCCGGUGCACUCUUCUGUAGGCAGGCCAGCAUCAGUUUGGGCGGUGGGAUAAAGGUCUCUGUCACGUACCUCUCUUCGGGGAGGCCUUAUAGGGGAGACGACAUACCACCAGCCUAGACUGAGGUCCGCGCAUCUGCUAGGAUGCUGGCGUAAUGGCUGUAAGCGGCCCGUCUUGAAACACGGACCAAGGAGUCUAACAUCUAUGCGAGUGUUUGGGUGUCAAGCCCGAGCGCGUAAUGAAAGUGAACGGAGGUGGGAACCCGCAAGGGUGCACCAUCGACCGAUCCUGAAGUUUACGGAAGGAUUUGAGUAAGAGCAUGGCUGUUGGGACCCGAAAGAUGGUGAACUAUGCUUGAAUAGGGUGAAGCCAGAGGAAACUCUGGUGGAGGCUCGCAGCGGUUCUGACGUGCAAAUCGAUCGUCAAAUUUGGGCAUAGGGGCGAAAGACUAAUCGAACUAUCUAGUAGCUGGUUCCUGCC